rnacentral:snoRNA from 1 species
CAGUCUCUUGCCUCGCUCGGUCUUCUGUGUCUGUUGGAAGAUCUAGAGCUGGAUGCCUGUACUUUCUAUAAGUGCCAGGUAUGAGACGAGAAGAACCCGACGAUCUUUGAGUACGAUUUAGUCCGAGCACCACGGAUUCGAUCGUAAUUUAUCCGUCGAUACAUAC